AUGGGGAGGCGGAAGGAGCGCCGCCUGGCGGCCAAGGCGGCCUCGGGCCGCAGGGUCAAGCUCGACCUCUUCCUCGAUCCUUCCCCCGGGGAGGCGUCUAUGAAAGAGGGAGUUGGAGAGGAAAACCGUGGGCAGCAAACUGGUGUUCCCACUUCACCAUCUUCGUCAGAUAAGAAGGAAAAUCCUCUAGCAUUGCUUGGGCAAUAUAGUGAUGAUGAAGAAGAGGAUGAAGUAGCAACAGAUCAACCCAAUGGUGAAACUAAGGGGAGUCCAACAGAUGCAAGUGCCGAGGUUAUUCAUGAUCAUGGUGAUGUAACUGGGGAUAACGGCGAUGCAGAUAGUGAACUGCCUGCUUCUGUUAGUGUUCAGCAGGAGGUAUCUCAAGCUGAUGAUGUCAAAAAUAUCACAGAAAAUGUUGCUGAGGAAUUUACUAUUGCCCCUGAGCCAACUCUGGAAAAUGAAUGUGUGACAGCUACGGAAGCUGUCCCAGAUUCAUCUGGCAUGCAAAUUGUUGGUGACAUUGGUGGGAAUUGGAAGGCUAUAAUGCAUGAACAGAGUAACCAGUGCUACUACUGGAACACAGUUACAGGAGAAACUUCUUGGGAGAUUCCUAAUGGAUUAGCUUCAGUAGUUGCUGCUGAUGGAGUCACUUCUGCAUCUGUGCCUACUCAUAUGGGGUACUCUGUAGAAGCUCAAGCACAUGUCCUUCCCCACAGUAAUGUCGAAGCAUAUCCUAGUGAUGUGUCUGUUGGAAAUGGCACAGCAACCUAUACUGCUAUGGGAACUUAUACUCAUGAUCCUUAUGCUUACACUGGAGCCGUUGCUAGUCAUGGGAGAGUGGACAUUGACCCCUUGCAGCUUGCAAAAUAUGGUGAGGAUUUACUGCAAAGACUGAAGCUGCUGGAAAGGCCACAUGUUGCCAUUGACAGUCUUGAGUUGAUAAAAAGAGAAAUUGAGAUACGAAUAGCAGACUGUAAUACCCUCUCCUCGUAUGGAUCUUCUUUACUUCCGUUGUGGUUGCAUGCUGAGGUGCACCUUAAGCAACUAGAACUUUCAGUUUCCAAGUUUGAAGCUAGCUACACUACCAAACAUGGAUAUCUGGAGACAGUGGAUGCAGGACACAAAGCACCUAAUGAAGCUGAAGUUAUGGCACCCUCUGAGGGUGAGCAUUUGAAGGUUGAUGUUAGCACUCUGGGAAUAGGUACUGGCGACGAAAAUAUUAAGGUUGAGGAACCAUGUACAACAUUAUCUGUUCAGAACUCACAAGGUGUGGCAGCAGCUAUUUUAAGAGUUGAAUCAGACAGUGAUGAAGAUAUGGACGUGGAAAUGGAGGUCGAUGAAGAAGGUGUUGAAGAGCAGGGCGGUUCCACUUCUAUGCCAAAUAAGGAGCAUCCUUCAUCAGAGCAAGUACGAUCACCAGCUUUGUCAUCAUUGGAGGAUUCUGCUCCCCCACAGGAUAAUGACAUUCCUCCUCCUCCACCACCACCAGAAGAGGAAUGGAUUCCACCUCCACCACCUGAGAAUGAACCAGCUCCUCCACCUCCUCCUGAACCUGAAGAGCACGCUGUAUCAUUUGUUCAUGCUGAUACACUUCCUCAGCCAUACGGAGAUCAAGCAAACUUGGGUUAUAUGCUUCCAGGAAUGGAGUACUAUCCUGCUGCUGGUACAGAUGGCACAAAUGCCAACUACUAUAUGCAAGCAAGCGAUUCUCAUAUUCUUCAAUCACAGCAGCAUUCUUACUAUGCACCAUUGUCUGCAAGUGGCGUAUCUAUUCCUGUUGAGACCACAUCCAUCCCCCCAGUACCAGGUUCUUAUUAUAGCUAUCCUUCCGUCACGAUGGCUGCCACUGAAGUAGCGGCUGAAUCUUCUGGAUACUAUGCUUCAUCAACCUCUGCCAUUUCUAGUGGUGAAUUAGAUAACAAAACAAGCUCGGCCUCCCUUGUUGCAAAUAGUAAUGUGAAUCCUGUGGAGUCUGAUAAAGUGAUAUCCAAGGAGCCCACAGUUGCGUCUUUGAGCCAAUCAGUAGAAGCAGUCUCAGCUUCAGGACCAACAGUACAUGGAAGUUCUACUCAAGCUUCUACUAGCACCACUAAUCAGACUAAAGUUCCUCGUACUAAGAAGCGACCUGUUGCUGUUGCAUCAUCACUGAGAUCUAAUAAGAAGGUGUCAAGUCUGGUGGAUAAGUGGAAAGCUGCAAAAGAGGAGCUUCGUGAUGAAGAGGAAGAGGAGCCUGAAGAUGCUUUGGAGUACCUAGAAAGGAAACGCCGGAAGGAAAUAGAUGGGUGGCGUAAGCAACAAAUAGCUAGUGGAGAAGCCAAGGAAAAUGCCAAUUUUGUUCCCCUUGGUGGUGACUGGCGUGACCGUGUAAAACGCAAAAGAGCUGAAGCAAAGAAGGAAGCGAAGACUGAAUCUAUUCGUGCAGCUGCCGAACAACACAAAGGGGAGCCUGAUCUCUCAGAGCUCUCCAAGGGUCUUCCUUCUGGGUGGCAGGCAUACAUAGACGAGUCUACGAAGCAAGUGUACUAUGGGAACAACCUCACUUCCGAGACGACUUGGGAUCGGCCUAGCAAAUAA
rnacentral:rRNA from 1 species